rfam:Branchiostoma floridae genomic scaffold BRAFLscaffold_187, whole genome shotgun sequence.
AUACUUACCUGGCAGAGACGAUACGCUGAUCCCGAACGGCGUCCGUCCAGGGCGAGGCCCGACCAUUGCACUGACGGUCUGGGCUGACCCCUGCGAUUACCCCAAACGCGGGUAACUCGGCUGCGCAAUUUCUGAUAGUGGGGGUCUGCGUUCGCGCUUACCCCGU